GAGUUCGUAGGUGGUUGAAAAAGUUGGUGGUGAAAUCCCAGAGCUUAACUCUGGAACUGCCAUCAAAACUUUUCAGCUAGAGUAUGAUAGAGGAAAGCAGAAUUUCUAGUGUAGAGGUGAAAUUCGUAGAUAUUAGAAAGAAUACCAAUUGCGAAGGCAGCUUUCUGGAUCAUUACUGACACUGAGGAACGAAAGCAUGGGUAGCGAAGAGGAUUAGAUACCCUCGUAGUCCAUGCCGUAAACGAUGUGUGUUAGACGUUGGAAAUUUAUUUUCAGUGUCGCAGCGAAAGCGAUAAACACACCGCCUGGGGAGUACGACCGCAAGGUUAAAACUCAAAUGAAUUGACGGGGACCCGCACAAGUAGUGGAGCAUGUGGUUUAAUUCGAAGAUACGCGCAGAACCUUACCAACACUUGACAUGUUCGUCGCGACUCUAAGAGAUUAGAGUUUUCGGUUCGGCCGGACGAAACACAGGUGCUGCAUGGCUGUCGUCAGCUCGUGUCGUGAGAUGUUGGGUUAAGUCCCGCAACGAGCGCAACCCUCACUUUUAGUUGCCAUCAUUUAGUUGGGCACUCUGAAAGAACUGCCAGUGAUAAGCUGGAGGAAGGUGGGGAUGACGUCAAGUCCUCAUGGCCCUUACGUGUUGGGCUACACACGUGCUACAAUGGCAUCUACAACAGGAAGCAAAACGGCAACGUUAAGCAAAUCCCGAAAAGAUGCCUCAGUUCGGAUUGCACUCUGCAACUCGAGUGCAUGAAGCUGGAAUUACUAGUAAUCGUGGAUCAGCGUGCCACGGUGAAUGCGUUCCCGGGUCUUGUACACACCGCCCGUCACACCAUGGGAGUUGGUUCUACCUUAAGGCAAGGUUUUAAACCCUUGACCACGGUAUAGUCAGCGACUGGGGUGAAG
rnacentral:rRNA from 1 species